GCCUAGAACCAUGUGAAGGUCCAGAUUUAAGUCCUGGAGCGCUGGGGGUUGCUCGAGUUCUGACUGGAGUGGAUGAUCGAGUCGGUAUGGGACGUGAGGUUGGAGUCGAUGGCCUUGCAGUUGAGAGGGUAGCUGGUAUGGAACGUGAGGUUGGAGCCGAUGGCCUUGCAGUUGAGAGGGUAGCUGGUAUGGGACGUGAGGUUGGAGUCGAUGGCCUUGCAGAUGAGAGAGCAGCUGCUCGGCUCCCUGGGGUUGAUGGCCUUGAGGUUACUGAGGCUGAGCUAGUGUCAAGGAC
rnacentral:lncRNA from 1 species